AAAGCCUGGUUGAAUUCCUGGAGGAAAAUCCUGUAAGAGUGUGAAAUUUCCUGUCCAAAAAGUCAUCGCUAAGACAGAUAUCAAGAAACUUACUGCUUAUGUUUCAUUUUAGUAGUUUCAUGGUUUUAGAUGUCACAUUCAAGUCUUUAAUCCAUUUUGAGUUAAUUUUUGUGUAUGGUAUAAGAGUGGUCCAUAUUAUUCUGUUGCAUGCAGUUGUCCAGAUUUCCCAGCACUAUUUAUUGAAGAGACUGUCCUUUCCUCAUUGUGUAUUUUUGGCUCCUUUGUUGUCCAUUAAAUGAUUGUA